AGACGUAGGGGGCGAGCGUUGUCCGGAAUUAUUGGGCGUAAAGGGCGUGUAGGCGGUUAUUUAAGUCAGACGUGAAAGGUGGCGGCUCAACUGCCACAUUGCGUAUGAAACUGGGUAACUUGAGUGCAGCAGAGGGAAGUGGAAUUCCUAGUGUAGCGGUGAAAUGCGUAGAUAUUAGGAAGAACACCAGUGGCGAAGGCGGCUUUCUGGGCUGCAACUGACGCUGAGGCGCGAAAGCUGGGGGAGCGAACGGGAUUAGAUACCCCGGUAGUCCCAGCCGUAAACGAUGGACACUAGGUGUAGGAGGAACGACCCCUUCUGUGCCGCAGCAAACGCAAUAAGUGUCCCGCCUGGGGAAUACGGCCGCAAGGCUGAA
rnacentral:rRNA from 1 species